rnacentral:ncRNA from 22 species
UGAAUAUAAAUAGUUUUCGGUUUCCGCAAGGAAUUAAUAAGGAAUCAGGUGAAAGACCUGAGCAGCCCCCGUUACUGUGAAGCUGACGAAAGUUAGAAUAAAGCCACUGUAAUUAUAAAUUAUGGGAAGGUUAAUGAGUAGGAUGAAGCAAAGCCAGGAGACUUGCCGAAAAUAUAGAGUAAAUU